GACGAACGCUGGCGGCGUGCUUAACACAUGCAAGUCGAACGGAAAGGCUCCAGCUUGCUGGAGUACUCGAGUGGCGAACGGGUGAGUAACACGUGGGUAAUCUGCCCUGCACUCUGGGAUAAGCCGGGGAAACUGGGUCUAAUACUGGAUAUGACCUUUCUCCUUAUGGGGUUUGGUGGAAAGUUUUUCGGUGUAGGAUGAGCCCGCGGCCUAUCAGCUUGUUGGUGGGGUGAUGGCCUACCAAGGCGACGACGGGUAGCCGGCCUGAGAGGGUGAUCGGCCACAUUGGGACUGAGAUACGGCCCAGACUCCUACGGGAGGCAGCAGUAGGGAAUAUUGCACAAUGGGCGGAAGCCUGAUGCAGCGACGCCGCGUGAGGGAUGACGGCCUUCGGGUUGUAAACCUCUUUCAGCAGGGACGAAGCGUAAGUGACGGUACCUGCAGAAGAAGCACCGGCUAACUAUGUG
rnacentral:rRNA from 1 species